GGCGCGGUGGCUGAGUGGUAAAGCGCUUGGCUUCCGAUCUUGAGGUCCUGGGUUCGAAUCUCGGCGAUGACU
rnacentral:tRNA from 1 species